GAUGAACGCUGGCGGUGUGCCUAAUACAUGCGAGUCGAGCGAACGGACGAGAAGCUUGCUUCUCUGAUGUUAGCGGCGGACGGGUGAGUAACACGUGGAUAACCUACCUAUAAGACUGGGAUAACUUCGGGAAACCGGAGCUAAUACCGGAUAAUAUUUUGAACCGCAUGGUUCAAAAGUGAAAGACGGUCUUGCUGUCACUUAUAGAUGGAUCCGCGCUGCAUUAGCUAGUUGGUAAGGUAACGGCUUACCAAGGCAACGAUGCAUAGCCGACCUGAGAGGGUGAUCGGCCACACUGGAACUGAGACACGGUCCAGACUCCUACGGGAGGCAGCAGUAGGGAAUCUUCCGCAAUGGGCGAAAGCCUGACGGAGCAACGCCGCGUGAGUGAUGAAGGUCUUCGGAUCGUAAAACUCUGUUAUUAGGGAAGAACAUAUGUGUAAGUAACUGUGCACAUCUUGACGGUACCUAAUCAGAAAGCCACGGCUAACUACGUG
rnacentral:rRNA from 1 species